CUCCUUCUCUCUUUCUUUCUCUCUCUCGGAGGACCUGAGCCCUAGGACCAUGCCCCAGGACUACCUGACAUGAUGACUCCUUGCUGUCCCCAGUCCACCUGGCCAUGCUGCUGCUCCAGUUUCAACUGGCCUGGGCCCUAGGACCAUGUCCCAGGACUACCUGACAUGAUGACUCCUUGCUGUCCCCAGCCCACCUAGCCAUGCUGCUGCUCCAGUUUCAACUGUUCUGCCUUACUAUUAUUCAACCAUGCUGGACCUGAGCCCUAGGACCGUGCCCCAGGACUACCUGACAUGAUGACUCCUUGCUGUCCCCAGUCCACCUGACUGUGCUGCUGCUCCAGUUUCAACUGUUCUGCCUUAUUAUUAUUCGACCAUGCUGGUCAUUUAUGAACAUUUGAACAUCUUGGUCAUGUUCUGUUAUAAUCUCUACCCGGCACAGCCAGAAGAGGACUGGCCACCCCACAUAGCCUGGUUCCUCUCUAGGUUUCUUCCUAGGUUUUGGCCUUUCUAGGGAGUUUUUCCUAGCCACCGUGCUUUUACACCUGCAUUGUUUGCUGUUUUGGGUUUUAGGCUGGGUUUCUGUACAGCACUUUGAGAUAUCAGCUGAUGUACGAAGGGCUAUAUAAAUACAUUUGAUUUGAUUUGA